AUUUCUUGCUAGGCCGGCAGGAGCCAGGCCAUGGCCUGCUGACUGCAUCUGCCAGAUGACUACAAAUGUUUUUAUAGAUUGAGAGAAACUAUGCUCAAGGAGCCUCAUGCAUACCUGGACCUGAUUUAAAUGAUGAGAUGCUGGACUUCAAGCAGAUGUUGUAAUGAUAUGAGGUUUUCAGGGACCUUGGGAAAUAGUAAAUGUAUUUUGCAUGUGAGAGGGACACAAAUCAUUGGAGGCCAAAAGGGUGAACCGAGGACAGAUGCUAGGGUAGCUCCCACAAUCCCCACCUCCUGGUUUCACCCUUGUGGGAUCUCUCCAUGAGUGUAGGUGGAACCUGUGAUUUGCUUCUAACUAGUAGAAUUUGGCAAAAAUGAUGAGAUAUAUGUGAUUAUGUUUACAUGAUUAUAUAAGAUUCUGAGUACAUUGAGCUGCAUAGAGAGAGCACGGGGGCAAGUGAGAGCCAGCACUGGACAACCCUGUGCCUCACUGAGGAAAAAUAACUAUAUAAGGGCAAAAGAGAUCCAUGGAACCUGAGAGGCAAAGUGUUAUUAUAUGCAUUAUUUGGCAAACUUGUCAGGAGGCGCAUAAGAAGAAGCACCCAGAUGUUUCAGUCAACUUCUCAGUUUUCUAGGAAGUGCUCAGAGAGGUGCAAGACCAUGUCUGCUAAAGAGAAAGGGAAAUUUGAAGACGUGGCAAAGGCGAACAAGGCUCGUUAUGAAAGACAAACAAAAACCUAUAUCCCUCCUAAAGAUCCUCUUUAGGACAAAAAAGUAGUCCAAGGAUCCCAGCGCACCCAGGAGGCAUUCUUUGGCCGUUUUCUUGUUCUGUUCUGAAUAUUGCCCAAAAAUCAAAGGAGAACAUCCUGGCCUAUCCAUUAGUGAGUUGUAAAGAAAUUGGAGAGAUGUGGGAGGGCACUGCCGCAGAUGAUAAGCAGCCUUAUGAAAAGAAGGCUGUGAACCUGAAGGAAAAAUACGAAAAGGAUAUUGCUGCAUACUGAACUAAAGGAAAGUCUGAUGCAGCAAAAAAUGGAGUUGUCAAGGCUGAAAAAAGCAAGAAAAGGAAGAAGAGGAAGAUGAAGAUGAUGAUGAUGAUAAUAAAAGAUUCUCUCUCACUUGCUGACUUUGAAAAAGCAAGUGGCCGUGUGAAGAGGGCCAUAUAGCAUAGGAGCUGAAGGCAGCCUCCAACUGACAGCAAGAAAAUGAGGUCCUCAAUCAGACAACCUGCAAGAAACUGAAUGCUCUAAAAGCCACAUGAGCUUGGGAGCAGAUCUGACCCUAGCCAAAUCUCUGAAGUCCACAGGCAGGAAAUGAAGAUCAGAAAAAUGCUAUUGUCUCAUGAAUAUGAGCCAGACUCCACAGAAGCUAGAGUCCUUCAUUAUGGAGCUAAACACACAUACCUGGCUUAGGAGUCAGAAAAACUCAAAGAGAAUUCAGGGAAGUAGAGAAAUUGCGAGCUCAGAUGCUGCUUCAUACCAAAGAAGCAAGUCAGCAGAUCAGCAACAAUGUGUUAUCAGCUCCAAAAUGACUUACACAGGUACCAAGACAAGACAUUAUAUACACUUAUAUUGUCAAAUACUUUAAAACUGUUAACAAACUUGCUACAAUUGUCUCAUUUGUCUUUUAACCUUAAUAUCACAGGUCAAGUUUGUAAUCUCAAGAGUUCACCCUGGCUGCUAUAUGGAGUAUUCUCUUAUCUGCUCAUAUUACAUUGUGCUUAUUCAUUCAUCAGUUAAUGGAAAUUUGGGUUGUUUCCUGAUUUUGACGGUAAUGAAUGAUGUUACUGUAAACAUUUGUGUACAGUUUUGUGUGGACAUGCUUUUCUUUCUCUUAGAUAGGUUCCUAUGAGUGGAAUCACUAGAUUGUAUGGUAAAUGUAUGUUUAACUUUUAAAGAAACUGUCAAACUGUUUUCUAACAUGAAUGGGCCAUUUUACAUUCUUAUCAACAGUGUAUGAGGGUUUCCAUUUUUCCAC